rnacentral:rRNA from 1 species
GACGAACGCUGGCGGCGUGCUUAACACAUGCAAGUCGAACGGAAAGGCCCUGCUUUUGUGGGGUGCUCGAGUGGCGAACGGGUGAGUAACACGUGAGUAACCUGCCCUUGACUUUGGGAUAACUUCAGGAAACUGGGGCUAAUACCGGAUAGGAGCUCCUGCUGCAUGGUGGGGGUUGGAAAGUUUCGGCGGUUGGGGAUGGACUCGCGGCUUAUCAGCUUGUUGGUGGGGUAGUGGCUUACCAAGGCUUUGACGGGUAGCCGGCCUGAGAGGGUGACCGGCCACAUUGGGACUGAGAUACGGCCCAGACUCCUACGGGAGGCAGCCGUGGGGAAUAUUGCACAAUGGGCGGAAGCCUGAUGCAGCAACGCCGCGUGCGGGAUGACGGCCUUCGGGUUGUAAACCGCUUUCGCCUGUGACGAAGCGUGAGUGACAGUAAUGGGUAAAGAAGCACCGGCUAACUACGUG